UGGGGAAUCUUCCGCAAUGGGCGAAAGCCUGACGGAGCAACGCCGCGUGAGUGAAGACGGCCUUCGGGUUGUAAAGCUCUGUUAUAUGGGACGAACGGGCGUAUGGUCAAUACCCAUACGCCGUGACGGUACCGUAAGAGAAAGCCACGGCUAACUACGUGCCAGCAGCCGCGGUAAUACGUAGGUGGCAAGCGUUGUCCGGAAUCAUUGGGCGUAAAGGGCGCGCAGGCGGUUCGGUAAGUCGGUCUUAAAAGUGCGGGGCUUAACCCCGUGAUGGGAUUGAAACUGCCGGACUGGAGUGUCGGAGAGGAAAGCAGAAUUCCUAGUGUAGCGGUGAAAUGCGUAGAUAUUAGGAGGAAUACCAGUGGCGAAAGCGGCUUUCUGGACGACAACUGAGCGCUGAGGCGCGAAAGCCAGGGGAGCAAACGGGAUUAG
rnacentral:rRNA from 1 species